CCUGUUUGCAUCCCCUCGACUUUAGCGUUUCACGUGUGUGCUCCCCGGCUCCUUCUCAUUUGCGUUCUAUUUUUUUUUCAUUUUGCUAAUUUUUCGUUGCACACCGCCGUCCAAGUCGGUCUACACUUUUGCUCUCGCUCGUGCACCCGUCAUGUUCCGCCGUCUUGCUCUGCGGGGUGUCGCCGGCCGCCGUGCCGUGUGCUCGGGUGCUCGCACGUACUUCUAUGCGAACUGCGGUGAGACUGGCAUCAGCGGUGCGACGAUGCAGGUGCUGCUUAAGCUCACCUUGGUCUGCUGCGUCGUCCAGGUCUGUGCUAUUCGCUACUUCGUGUUCCAGCGCCUGACGACCAAGAAACAGUUCGUCGAGGACUCCACAGAUCUGUGGGAGAACGACGGCACUGAGAUGGAGGGCGAGGAGGCCGUGGCCAACCUCCGCAUCCAACACGAGCGCAUCAUGCCGUUCAUGAACGAAAUCAAGGACAAGCUGGACGCUCAGGCUUAAUCGCACAAGGACGUUGCUCUCUGUGAACGUGAGAUCGAUGGGUCAGACGGAGCUAGAAAGCGUCCGUCGGCUCCGUCAGUGGUCACUUCCUUCGCGCGCACCUUCCCCUUUUCCCGCUUUCACACCGUUUCUUUCUUUCCCUCGCCCUCGGUGUCCGCGUGCGUCGUUGUGCGUGUGUGUGUCAGGGAGGCGGUCGUACGAUAAGGCGAAUGCGGGUUGCCCAUGCGCAUGUGGGUGUUCCCCUUUCGGUUGGUUGCAGGGACACGGCACCCCGCUGCGCCCUUAUUACAGAAUAUCAAAGGGCAACGGCGACAGCGACGAAAAAACGGAAUCCAGCGGGCGUGGUGGUGCGUGGGCUGAAAGUGUGCCGGCGUGCGUGUAAUUGUAAUAGCGAUGUCUUUCAGCGCAGUCCUUGCCGUCGCGGCCGCUUUCCUCCACACAUCCCUCCAUGUGCACCUUCUUCACGAAGGCUCUGCCCCCACGUGCCUCCUCUCUCUUUCUCACUCUCCAUUAGUAGGUAACCUGUAGUGAUUCGGGUGUGGGGGAGGUCGAACAGAAAAAAAAAACAGAGGAGAAUUCGAUAGGGUGGAGGGAGAAGAACAAUACACACACACACACACUAAAGGAAAGAUGAAGCCCGAAAGCCGAAACGAAAACAAGACGAAAAAUGCUCACAGGCGAUGUUUUCCUUUGUUGUGUGGUGGUGUGGGGUGCGCUUUAUUUCGUCGGUCCGCCUUGUCGCGCCACACCCCUCCCUCUUUUGUUUUCUUUUGUGCUGUUGUGUUCUUGUCUUCUUUCCCUCUUUGUUUUAUGUAGUUGUUUCUCGUAGUGAUGAGGCCGCGGUGUCGUUGUUGGAGUCUGCCCCCCCCCCCCCCCCGCACAGCCGCACUGCCACACACAUGCCUUUAGGUGCGUGCGCGGCUGUUUGCAGACAAUCGUUGCCCCGACGGGGAACGUCAAGGCCCCCCUCCUUCCCCACCUAUCCUCCCUUUCUUUCGUCUCUUGCAUUGGGUUUGGGUCAGCGAGUGCUGCAUGCUUGUAUCCCUCGGUAUGUUAUUUCCGUUGAGUUGUUGUUGUUUGGCCUCCAUCAUGAGAAAGGAAUGAGCGAGAAGACAAAGAAGGAACACAUAGCUCAAACCUUCC
rnacentral:misc_RNA from 1 species